GCCUCACCAUGGGACCGGAAGCAACGUGGCUAAUGUACUGUGGCCUGAAACCUCCUGAACAGUGAGCCAAAAAGAACUUAUGAGCUCCAAAGAGGAACAGGCCUGACCAGGUCCAUGAGUUGAAGAAGAAGGAGAAACCAAAAAAAGAAAAAGAAAGAGAAACCAAGAACCCAAGACAACCAAGAGAAAGGUGCAGCAGUUCCUGACCCCAGUCUGAAGCUUCCUUCAGUAAAAGACAUAUCCACUCCAGGGACCCUCGCUGGUGGAUGGGGUUGCUGGGGAAAAUGCCUUAUUAAAGCAAUGCAGU